rnacentral:rRNA from 1 species
GACGGGGGGUCCUAGCGUUGUUCGGAAUCAUUGGGCGUAAAGCGUGUGCAGGUGGUUUGGUAAGUUGGAUGUGAAAGCCCCGGGCUUAACUCGGGAAGUGCAUUCAAAACUACCAAACUUGAGUAAGGAAGAGGGUUGUGGAAUUCCUGGUGUAGUGGUGAAAUACGUAGAUAUCAGGAGGAACACCGGCGGCGAAGGCGGCAACCUGGUCCUAUACUGACACUCAUACACGAAAGCGUGGGGAUCAAACAG